AGUUAGUUCCUUGCAUUUUACUCUGCCAUAAUAAUUUUUGUUUGUUUUAAUUACCAUAUCAAAAUAAGAUCAUUUUAUGCUUACUGGUAUAAUGAUAAUAUUAGAAUUAUAGGAAAUAAUUGAAUAUAUAUUUUUUGUCUUCUGUAAAUAUCAUGGUGUCCCUUAGCAUAUGUAUACCACUCUCAUUGCUGGCAGUGAGACAGGCCAUUCAUGAUCUUAAGAUUGACAUUUUUAAUGUAUAUAUUAGUUACAAGCACUUUAUAUAGCAGAAAAUUGUUUUUGAGAAUAAGCUAGUGUUGAUAUUUUAAUAUUUUUAGCUUACUGCUCGUGUUUUUGUUUUUGUCUUCAUUUAUAGAGGUGGGUUUCACUAUGUUGCCCAGGCUGGUCUCAAACUCCUGGGCUCAAGUGAUCCUGCCUCAGCCUCCCAAAGUACUGGGAUUACAGGCACGUGCCACUGUGCCUGGCCUACUGCUAUCUUUGAAAGUAAUAGAGACUAGCCAGCUGUGGUGGCUCAUACCUAUAAUCCCAGCACUUUGGGAGGCUGAGGCAGGCAGAUUGCUUGAGCUCAGGAGUUCGAGACCAGCCUGGGAAAUAUAGCAAGACCCUGUCUCUGUAAAAAGAAAGAAAGUAAUAGAGACUAAUUGAGCCCAAAAUGUUUCACUAUUUCAAAAAAGAUAUUAAAAUUGUUGCUCUGUCAUUCCAUAAAAAGAAUCUGAUCUCUCUUCUACUUUUCUGACCUGAGUUAGAGCUUCCCAGCCCUGUCAUGUAUGGGUUUUAGCCUAUUUCUUUUAGGUCACUAAAACAACUCACCCAAUUUGUCAAAUAAUGGAUUUAUCAUAGCCAAUACAUGUUCUCAAGGCAAGUUUAAACAUUAUUUUGAAGCUAAUGAUAAUUUUUUAAAAUAAAUAUUCACUGAUGUUUUUCACUGUAAAGCACGGGAGGGCUGCUUUAACAGCAGUGUAAGAAUCAGCCUGAAGCCUUGUUACUGCUGCAACAAAUGCAUGUUAGACUCCUCGGAUGUCUUCCACAGUGAUUUAUUUUUUUAGCAAACCUGAUACUGAUAACUGUUUCUUUGCUUUGAUUUCUUGAUGAAUUAUUUUGGUAUGUUUGUUGCUUUUUAAAACAAACAUGGAUAAUGCACUCAAGAGUACAUUUUUUGUAAAGAUUUUUGCAAUAGAAGAAAAGCUGAAGUUUUUGUGGGGAUGUGGAUUUUAUUGCUUACUACUUUUUUCCCUAUUUAAAACAUGAUCUUAGUCAAUAAUUGUAUUUAUAAUUAUCAGCUAAAGAAACUACAUUUAGUAUAAUACUCAAAUGGAAAAAUCAGUAGUUUAUACCUUUAUAAAUACAAUGUAGUAAGCCAAGGAAUCAGGGAACUAAUCCUUUAAAAUUAAUGUACUAAUGGUUAAUUAAGAUGUUUCAGGUGUUUUUUCUGAUUAAAUUUGUUAUUAUAUUUGGAAGAGUUUUUAAAACUAUAUUAAAAUGUGACUUGCAUUAUAAA
rnacentral:lncRNA from 1 species